GAUUCCCUGAAUUUGGACGAUCGCUGUCGCAGUGGCAGCGCCGCCUUUGGUGCUCGCUGCGUCACUUCCGCAACGGGAGGACAGGGGCGACAGCCAAGCUCUCUGUUUGUGACGACAGGUCCUUCCCAGGGAAGGCUCAGCGUUUGUCGGGGACGCUUCCGUCCUCGAGCUUCCACGUGGACUUCUUACUGAAGCGGGCGCAUGCUGUUUCGUCUUCCACGCCCGGGGCCUUUUCCGUCAGCUCCUCAACGCCACUCGCUGCUUUACAGACCUGCGAGUGUCGGCGGGGAUCUCGCGAGUCGCGGUGGACGGGUGCCUCCGAACGUUUCUCUGCUCCCGUCUUCAGUGUUGCCCGCGUUCGUCUACUCACCGGCGAAGCCUUGCAGAUUCACUCCAUGCGGCGCAGGAACGCUCCUGUGGCAGCGGGGCUGGACUGACACCAAAGGUUUCACCGCUCGCAGUUCGUCUGCUGAUGGUGUUUGGAGACCCGGCGAAAGAUUUGCAGGAAAAGCUCGCGUCCGCGAGUGAAUGCGUCCUCGUCGAAGAACAGUGCCGACUUCUGCCUCGCACACGACCUUGAGGUGGCGAGUCGAGCAGCGCGAACGUUCUUCAAUCAGGAAACAUAACACUCUUUGAACAGGUCCUUUUCGCUCGAAGACGCCAGAAAUUCGCCUGGCGGAGGCGGAAGACUGCAGCGCCUGCAGUCUGUUGGUCUUUUUCACUCGAUCCAGACGGUACAUUCGAUGCGUGCUGUUGGAGAUAUAUCCCGGCAGCGGCCGACAUCUGGAAAGACUGGUUUCUCACUGUUUUAUUGUUCUAGGUGAAUGCUCUUCGGGAAUUCAUCAACACUAUAAUUUGAG
rnacentral:lncRNA from 1 species